rnacentral:rRNA from 1 species
GUUGGCAGCUAGCUCUCUGCAGCUCUUACAAGAUCACCCACUGAAGCUAAGCAGUGCAGCGCCUGGUCAGUACCUGCAAGGGAGACUGCAUGGGAAAGCUAGGGAGCUGUGGUAU